AAUGGGGGCAACCCUGACCGAGCCAUGCCGCGUGAACGAUGAAGGCCUUAGGGUUGUAAAGUUCUUUCGCCAGAGAUGAUAAUGACAGUAUCUGGUAAAGAAACCCCGGCUAACUCCGUGCCAGCAGCCGCGGUAAUACGGAGGGGGUUAGCGUUGUUCGGAAUUACUGGGCGUAAAGCGCACGUAGGCGGAUUGGAAAGUUAGAGGUGAAAUCCCAGGGCUCAACCCUGGAACUGCCUUUAAAACUCCCAGUCUUGAGUUCGAGAGAGGUGAGUGGAAUUCCGAGUGUAGAGGUGAAAUUCGUAGAUAUUCGGAGGAACACCAGUGGCGAAGGCGGCUCACUGGCUCGAUACUGACGCUGAGGUGCGAAAGCGUGGGGAGCAAACAGGAUU
rnacentral:rRNA from 1 species